CAGUUCUGUGAGUAUGCGCGUAGCCCUCUAACCACAAGCCCAGCUAGUCCUGGUUGUGAAUUUCAAAGGGAGACAAGCAAUGAAUGGGAGACGAGCAAUGCGAAGCCAAUUAGAGGGCUACGCAGAACUGGAGUUACAUCCAGAGUAUGUGACUGAGCUUACGGACCUCCUCUUUAACGAGGUCAUCCAUGACCCUUCACGCUUUGUGGCUGAGAUGAAUGCAGUGGCUGUUCCUGGAUUCCUGUGCUCACAGUAUGAGCGACCUGAGAAAUCAGACGCAAUUGCUAGCCAUGUGUUCAGGCUCAGCUGUGUUUAACCCCACAACCCCUUCCCUAAUCAGCUGUUUUCUGCCAGCAUCUGUCAUCGUCUUCCUCCAGCAUAUCUGCCUGCCUCCUGCCUCGGUCCGUCCCUGCACUAGAGCCCCACCAGCCUCCAUGUUAAAAAAAUUCUACUCUGUCAGCAUUUUCAAGGAAUCGUCUCAGUAAAGAAGACAAUACACCUCUGCUUAGCUGCGCUCAUGUCGAACAGUGUGGGCAGAACAACCCCUCUGAAAGUAGUCUUUCAGAACGGGACCCCAGAAGACGCCAGUUUGAGUCAUUAACCUGCAGUCUGCCUCAAAUCAUUUUGGCUGUAUGAAUCGACCAGGACAUAGACAGCAGUUGUUAUGUUUUUCCAGUGACUUUCCACAACCAUCGAGCAAAAAUUUCAGAAUAAUUAUCCCAUUAAUGCAUGUUACUAACUCUACAUUUUAUCGUUCCGGUAGUUUUGUGCUUUCUCGUCUCUUAUCUCUCCUUCUGUCGCUUUCAGCAGGUAUUUCUGCCUCAGGAGCUGCAGAGUCUGGAUCUGUGAUUGCUGGAACACUGCUGCUGUCUCUAUGGUGGAGAGGAGGUUGCGUGGCUCAGAUCCUACUUAGUGGGCAUCACCUGCAGCUGCGACUAACAGACUGGAAGUCUAAAGCCACAACAGCAGCCCAUUGAGGCUGUGAUGUUCAAUACACACCAGAAAACUUGGACAGAUGAAGACUGUGGAGGCAACCAUACCAUAAGUGGGGCAAAAAAAAUGAAAUGUUUGACCUGAAGGUGACACUGAGAAAAGGCUACAUUGUAACCUAAAUAAAACAGGUUUAUCCUCUGAUGAGCAUGACAUUCCCAGUAAUACACUGCUCUGCAGAUGCUGUGGCAACCCAUCCUGUAAAUUCUGAUAUUUUGUGUACAAUGUUGACAGUCUGGCUGGAGAGUGGCACUAAAGAACAAGCUAAGAGGCCAAAUACACUCAGCCUUUUUCACAGCAGCACUGUGUAUUUCUUUAAGACAAUCUUUGAUUCCUCAGAGUUAUCUUGCAUUUUAGGACCAUUUGAUUGGCAAGCUCUCAGAUCCUAAUCAGAGUCUUCAUUUUUGCUUUGUUUGAUUUGUGCACAGGGAAGAGGGUUUUUGUUGCAGGUGCAGGUCAUUAUGUGAGGAUGAAUUAUCAUUCAAUUAGUGGGGGCACGUGUCAUUAUAUACACUACAUGGCCAAAUCUAUGUGGACACCUGAACAUUACACCCACAUGUCAUUGUUAAGCAUCGCAUUCCAAAAACCAUGGGGAAUUAACAUGCUGCUAUAACAGGCUCCACCUUUCUGAGAAGUGUCGUGUGCAGGCCUGUCAUGUUCUUCCACACCAAACUGGGAAAACCUUUUUUUUAUGGACCCGGCUCUGUGCACGGGGGCAUUGUCAUGUUGAAACAGGAAAGGCCUUCUCUGAACUGUUGCCACAAAGUUGGAAGCACACUGCUAUCUGAAAUAUACUUGUGUACUGUAGCAUUAAGAUUCUCAUUAGAAGGAAGAUUUGGAACUAAAAACAACCCCAGACCAUAAAUACACAAAAGUAUAUGGACAGGGAUGUAUUAAAUAGUAUAUUGCUUUUGGGAGAUAGAAUGGGAAAAACUGGAAGUGUUUCUAGUAUGGUGAAUACACUACGUUCAGGGGCGUUACCAUUAAGAAUGGGGCAGUUUUAAUCAGAUCAUCCAAAUGAUACUUUAAACUUGACUCCCUAUGUUGUCAGGGAAAAGCGAGCAGAUUUCAGUGCUGAUCCAAGUUCUUUUGGGGUGUUAGGCCUCAUUUGAACACCAAAAAACACACUUGAAGAAAGAUUCCUGGAUAUGUCUACUUGAAGUCUAAAACAAGUGACAUAUUUAAAGAUUUAAAGUAGGGAUGAGCGAGUACACCAUUAUCUGUAUCUGUAUCUGUUCUAACUAACUAAAUGAUCUGUAUUCGUAUCCGGGCUUAAACCAGACAUGGGUGGUUACUACUGGUGUGACUAACCAGAAGUUGUUCAUUUAAGCCGGAAAUUGAUAUGGGUUGAUCAGAAGUUGCUAUAUUUAUUAGAAAACUAUUUACAGAACAACCUCAGAAUUGAGCUUCAGAGCAAUGUUUUUGAUCACAAGAGUAAGAGAACUAUUUACAGAACUAGGUUUUUAAUAAAAGUUGCUAUAUAUAACAAGUACAGAUAUUGACACAUUUUACUCUGAUGAUACUCAUACUCGUAAAAAGGAUAUUAUCUGUACCGGAUAUUCGUUUCAGCCGAGUACUCGCUCAACCCUAAUUUAAAGACCCCUUACAUGUUGGCUCUGUUCCUCCAAAACAAGGACUGUAAUGCUGUAGUACUUGAUAGGAGCCAUGGAGCCUAUAUCAUUUUAUACUAUUAUAGUAUAAAAUGAUUUACACCAAAAUUAGCGUGUAUAUGCAGGUUUUUGAGUGAAUGCUGAUUGUACCCUCUCACACUGAAGACAAAAGCCAGAUGUUAGUGGGUGUUAGCGGAUUUUUCCCAGUGUAAAAUGGGUAUCAUAUUAAAAUUAUAUCUAUAUUCAGAAAGGCAUACACAGGCAGAUGUAAUUUACUUCAACAGAACUGGAUUGAACAAUUUGCAACAUUUUAAAAUAUUUAAUAGGUGCACAA